CAAGUCGAGGGGUAUAGUCUUCGGAUUUAGAGACCGGCGCACGGGUGCGUAACGCGUAUGCAAUCUACCUUUCACAGAGGGAUAGCCCAGAGAAAUUUGGAUUAAUACCUUAUAGUAUUACGACUUCGCAUGGAGAUGUAAUUAAAGAUUUAUCGGUGAAAGAUGAGCAUGCGUCCCAUUAGUUAGUUGGUAAGGUAACGGCUUACCAAGACUACGAUGGGUAGGGGUCCUGAGAGGGAGAUCCCCCACACUGGUACUGAGACACGGACCAGACUCCUACGGGAGGCAGCAGUGAGGAAUAUUGGACAAUGGGCGCAAGCCUGAUCCAGCCAUGCCGCGUGCAGGAUGACGGUCCUAUGGAUUGUAAACUGCUUUUAUACAGGAAGAAACACCUCUACGUGUAGAGACUUGACGGUACUGUAUGAAUAAGGAUCGGCUAACUCCGUGCCAGCAGCCGCGGUAAUACGGAGGAUCCAAGCGUUAUCCGGAAUCAUUGGGUUUAAAGGGUCCGUAGGCGGAUUUGUAAGUCAGUGGUGAAAUCUCCCCGCUCAACGGGGAAACGGCCAUUGAUACUGCAAGUCUUGAAUUAUUAGGAAGUAACUAGAAUAUGUAGUGUAGCGGUGAAAUGCUUAGAGAUUACAUGGAAUACCAAUUGCGAAGGCAGGUUACUACUAAUGGAUUGACGCUGAUGGACGAAAGCGUGGGUAGCGAACAGGAUUAGAUACCCUGGUAGA
rnacentral:rRNA from 1 species